rnacentral:snRNA from 12 species
AAAGUUCCGCUCAGAGAUGCUCCCCAGCUGCGGCAGCGGCGCCAGCGACGACUUGUCCUCCGCAGCCUCCGAGGCUGAGAGCGAUUAGGGUCAGGAAAGUAAUAUUGCCGAGAGGGCGGGGCCCCGCGAUGAGAGUCGAGGCA